rnacentral:rRNA from 1 species
GAUGAACGCUGGCGGCGUGCCUAAUACAUGCAAGUCGAGCGAAGCGGGGAAGGGUGAGGAACACGAGGAUAACCUCCUAUAAGACUGGGAUAACUUCGGGAAACCGGAGCUAAAUAGGACCCUUAUAGGUGGAUCCGCGCUGGAUUAGCUAGUUGGUAGGGUAACGGCUUACCAUGGCUACGAUGCGUAGCCGACCUGAGAGGGUGAUCGGCCACACUGGAACUGAGACACGGUCCAGACUCCGACGGGAGGCAGCAGUAGGGAAUCUUCCGCAAUGGGCGAAAGCCUGACGGAGCAACGCCGCGUGAGUGAAGAAGGUCUUCGGAUCGUAAAACUCUGUUAUUAGGGAGGCGGUACCUAAUCAGAAAGCCACGGCUAACUACGUGCCAGCAGCCGCGGUAAUAC